rnacentral:tRNA from 1 species
GGGGUUGUGGCUCAGUGGUAGAGCGAUCCCCUAACAUGGGUGAGGCACUAGGUUCGAUCCUCAGCUCCA